rnacentral:lncRNA from 1 species
CUAAUGGGAAUGGGCGUGGCCUGGGAGAAGUGGGCGUGGCCUAAUGGGAAUGGGCGUGGCCUGGGAGAAGUGGGCGUGGCCUGUGAUAGGUGGGCGUGGCCUGCAGACCGUGGUGCUCCAGCCCCCAUGGAGUGGGCAUGGCCUAAUGGGAGUGGGCGUGGCCAAAGGGGGCGUGGCAAAAACGGUCGUGGGCGUGGUCUAUAUGGGCGUGGCAACACGGGGCGUGGCCAAUGCAAAUGGGCACGAGUUCCCAUGGGUCUUUGGGGCUCGACCCCUGGGGGUGGGGGUGUGGCCAAAGGGGGCGUGGCCAACGGCGGCGGGUGUGGCCGAUUGGGAGUGGGCGUGGCCAAUGCAAAUGGGCAUGAGUCUAUGGGGCUGGACCCGUGGGAGGUGGGGGCGUGGCUUUAUGGGGGGCGUGGCUUUAUGGGGGGCGUGGCCAAUGCAAAUGAGCGUGAGUUUAUGGGGCUGGACUCGUGGGAGGUGGGGGCGUGGCUUCUAUGGGGGGCGUGGCCAACAGGAAUGGGCGUGGCCAAUGCAAAUGAGCACAACUUCCUGCAGGUUCAUGUCGCUCAACCGCAGGGGGUGGGGGCGUGGCCAAAGGGGGGCGUGGCCAAAGUGGGCGUGGCCAAAGGGGGGGGGACCGUGGCCAAAGGGAAUGGGCGUGGCCAAUGCAAAUGAGCACGACUUCCUGCGGGUUCAUGUCGCUCAACCGCAGGGGGUGGGGGCGUGGCCAAACGGGGGCGUGGCCAAACGGGGGGGGCGUGGCCAAAGGUGGUGGGCGUGGUCUAUAUGGGCGUGGCCAAAUGGGGGAGACCGUGGCCAAAGGGGGCGUGGCCAAAGGAAAUGGGCGUGGCCAAUGCAAAUGAGCACGACUUCCUGCAGGUUCAUGUCGCUCAACCGCAGGGGGUGGGGGCGUGGCCAAACGGGGGGCGUGGCCAAAUUGGGGGGCGUGACCAAAUUGGGGGCGUGGCUAAAGGGAAUGGGCGUGGCCAAUGCAAAC